rnacentral:lncRNA from 1 species
CGCUGGUCUUAUUUUCUUUAAGUGCCCCUUCAUUUUUUAGGUUGGAGCAACGAGUUUGUUAAGCAGAGCUCUUAGAGAGAUGAAAUGAAGCCAAAAGAGUCACCUUUGUGUGUUCCUUCAUUCACAAAUUCACUCUGCACAGGAGCACCUCGGCAAGCCGCAGGCUGAGGGUCAAGCUUAUACAACAGCCACACCCUGCCUUUAAGAAGCUGACAGUCUAGGAGAGGAGAGGAGAUGUAAAGUCAAAUAUUCUCAGCCUAAGAAGGGAUGGGUUAAGAAUAUCACACGAGAGGCAGAAACAAGAUGCCUUAGAAAUUCAAAGAAGAAAGAUCAUUGUGGAGUUAGAGCAGUCAUCGACAUGAAAUCGUACGAGAGAGACUUGCACACCUACCCCUGUGGAGCGUGCACCCUAUAAGGGAGAAGUCGCCACACUGAAAUCCAGAGUGACAAAAGAAGAUGCCACAGCAGGGACCAGGAAACAGGCCCACCCCUGAAGUGUGUGCCAUCGGUAAAAAAAUCAGAGGAAAGGAGGCUGCCAUUCCCUUCACAGCCAAACAUUGUCAACCCAUGGAGAAGCAGGCCUUAUUCAACUCCCUAGGAUCCUUUAGAAAAAAUUCACCACUAUAGGCUUCUUUGAUUUUCUUUCAGAAGCAAUUGCUGUCUUUCUCACUGUGUUUUUGUUGCUGCAUAAGAUUGAAGGUAUAAAUUUAUAUUAUUGUGAUGGAAAGGCUGUGUGGAAAUUCAUUGAUGAUACUUUAAAAUGUCAUCUUUGCUUGUACUAGAUUUCUUACUUAGAAUUUUUAAAAAUCAUUUUCUUGUUUAAAUAGUUUCUUUUUUUAAAAAAAUGGUUACAUUAGUUUUAAAAUAGCUCUGUGAUUUUACUUUUUAUUGUAAUUAAUAAACAUUGAGAUCUUCAUUUUAUACCUUAUUAUCUGAUUUAUUUGUAUCUCCUUCUAACUAGUGGGAUUGGGAUU